CUGAGAUUAGCUCAGUUGGUCAGAGCACAGUGCUAGUAACACCAAGGUUGCGGGUUGGAUCCCCAUACAGG